GACGAACGCUGGCGGCGUGCCUAAUACAUGCAAGUCGAACGCUUCUUUCCUCUCGAGUGCUUGCACUCAAUUGGAAAGAGGAGUGGCGGACGGGUGAGUAACCCGUGGGUAACCUACCCAUCAGAGGGGGAUAACACUUGGAAACAGGUGCUAAUACCGCAUAACAGUUUAUGCCGCAUGGCAUAAGAGUGAAAGGCGCUUUCGGGUGUCGCUGAUGGAUGGACCCGCGGUGCAUUAGCUAGUUGGUGAGGUAACGGCUCACCAAGGCCACGAUGCAUAGCCGACCUGAGAGGGUGAUCGGCCACACUGGGACUGAGACACGGCUCAGACUCCUACGGGAGGCAGCAGUAGGGAAUCUUCGGCAAUGGACGAAAGUCUGACCGAGCAACGCCGCGUGAGUGAAGAAGGUUUUCGGAUCGUAAAACUCUGUUGUUAGAGAAGAACAAGGACGUUAGUAACUGAACGUCCCCUGACGGUAUCUAACCAGAAAGCCACGGCUAACUACGUG
rnacentral:rRNA from 1 species